rnacentral:lncRNA from 1 species
AUGGGCUUUUUGAACAGCUCUCCAAACCUCUUAACCCCCCCCCCCCCCCCCCCCACACACACACACACACACACACACCCUCCUCUCACUGCUCCACACACACACACACACACACACACACACACACACACACACACACACACACACACACACACACCCUCCUCUCACUGCUCCACACACACACACACACACACCCUCCUCUCACUGCUCCACACACACACCCUCCUCUCACUGCUCCGCAGACACACACACACACACACACACACAUGCCCUCCCCUCACUGCUUCUGCAGAACAAUUGCAGACUUUUCUCUCUCCCUGUCUCCCACUCCGAAUGUAUCCCUCGCUCUAUACUUCCUACUCCUUUCCUCUCCUUUUGUAUCUUUCUCUCUCUCUCUCUAUCUCUCUCUGCUUCUCUAUCUCCUCCCCUCGUUUCCUUUCCUCUCCUUUUGUAUCUUUCUCUCUCUCUCUCUAUCUCUCUCUGCUUCUCUAUCUCCUCCCCUCGUUUCCUUUCCUCUCCUUUUGUAUCUUUCUCUCUCUCUCUCUAUCUCUCUCUGCUUCUCUAUCUCCUCCCCUCGUUUCCUUUCCUCUCAUUUUGUAUCUUUCUCUCUAUCUCUCUCUGCUUCUCUAUCUCCUCCCCUCGUUUCCUUUCCUCUCCUUUUGUAUCUUUCUCUCUCUCUCUCUAUCUCUCUCUGCUUCUCUAUCUCCUCCCCUCGUUUCCUUUCCUCUCCUUUUGUAUCUUUCUCUCUCUCUCUCUAUCUCUCUCUGCUUCUCUAUCUCCUCCCCUCGUUUCCUUUCCUCUCCUUUUGUAUCUUUCUCUCUCUCUCUCUCUCUCUCUGCUUCUCUAUCUCCUCCCCUCGUUUCCUUUCCUCUCCUUUUGUAUCUUUCUCUCUCUCUCUCUAUCUCUCUCUGCUUCUCUAUCUCCUCCCCUCGUUUCCUUUCCUCUCCUUUUGUAUCUUUCUCUCUCUCUCUCUAUCUCUCUCUGCUUCUCUAUCUCCUCCCCUCGUUUCCUUUCCUCUCCUUUUGUAUCUUUCUCUCUCUCUCUCUAUCUCUCUCUGCUUCUCUAUCUCCUCCCCUCGUUUCCUUUCCUCUCAUUUUGUAUCUUUCUCUCUAUCUCUCUCUGCUUCUCUAUCUCCUCCCCUCGUUUCCUUUCCUCUCCUUUUGUAUCUUUCUCACUCUCUCUCUAUCUCUCUCUGCUUCUCUAUCUCCUCCCCUCGUUUCCUUUCCUCUCCUUUUGUAUCUUUCUCUCUCUCUCUCUAUCUCUCUCUGCUUCUCUAUCUCCUCCCCUCGUUUCCUUUCCUCUCCUUUUGUAUCUUUCUCUCUCUCUCUAUCCCUCUCUGCUUCUCUAUCUCCUCCCCUCGUUUCCUUUCUUGUCAUCCGUCUUCUUCUGCCUCUGCACCAGAGGUGGUGCUUUUUUAAUUCUGUCCCCUGGGCUUCUCACAGCCUCCUGCUGCAUCAAUACUGUCUCUCCUAA